rnacentral:rRNA from 1 species
GAUGAACGCUAGCGGCAGGCUUAAUACAUGCAAGUCGAGGGGCAGCAUGAUUGUAGCAAUACAAUUGAUGGCGACCGGCAAACGGGUGCGGAACACGUACACAACCUCCCAAUAAGUGGGGAAUAGCCCAGAGAAAUUUGGAUUAAUACCCCGUAACAUAACGAUGUGGCAUCACAUUGUUAUUAUAGAUUUUUCGCUUAUUGAUUGGUGUGCGGCUGAUUAGAUAGUUGGCGGGGUAACGGCCCACCAAGUCUACGAUCAGUAGCUGAUGUGAGAGCAUGAUCAGCCACACGGGCACUGAGACACGGGCCCGACUCCUACGGGAGGCAGCAGUAAGGAAUAUUGGACAAUGGACGCAAGUCUGAUCCAGCCAUGCCGCGCGAAGGAUUAAGGUCCUCUGGAUUGUAAACUUCUUUUAUAAGGGACGAAAAAAGGCUUUUCUAAGUCGUCUGACGGUACCUUAUGAAUAAGCACCGGCCAACUCCGUGCCAGCAGCCGCCGUAAGAC